rnacentral:rRNA from 1 species
AAAUGAAUUGACGGGGGCCCGCACAAGCGGUGGAGCAUGUGGUUUAAUUCGAAGCAACGCGAAGAACCUUACCAAGGCUUGACAUGGAGACGCAACACUUAGAGAUAAGUGCCCCCUUCGGGGCGUCUUACACAGGUGGUGCAUGGUUGUCGUCAGCUCGUGUCGUGAGAUGUUGGGUUAAGUCCCGCAACGAGCGCAACCCUUACGUCCAGUUGCCAGCAAGUGAAGUUGGGCACUUUGGAUGGACUGCCGUGGAUAACACGGAGGAAGGUGGGGAUGAUGUCAAAUCAUCAUGCCCCUUAUGUCUUGGGCUACACACGUGCUACAAUGGGACCUACAGCGUGAAGCGAGGCAGUGAUGCGGAGCGGACCACGAAAAGGUUCCCCAGUUCGGAUUGUAGGCUGCAACCCGCCUACAUGAAGUUGGAAUCGCUAGUAAUCGCGAAUCAGCAUGUCGCGGUGAAUACGUUCCCGGGCCUUGUACACACCGCCCGU